AACGAACGCUGGCGGCAGGCUUAACACAUGCAAGUCGAGCGCCCCGCAAGGGGAGCGGCAGACGGGUGAGUAACGCGUGGGAAUCUACCCAUCUCUACGGAAUAACGCAUGGAAACGUGUGCUAAUACCGUAUACGUCCUUCGGGAGAAAGAUUUAUGGGAGAUGGAUGAGCCCGCGUUGGAUUAGCUAGUUGGUGGGGUAAAGGCCUACCAAGGCGACGAUCCAUAGCUGGUCUGAGAGGAUGAUCAGCCACACUGGGACUGAGACACGGCCCAGACUACUACGGGAGGCAGCAGUGGGGAAUAUUGGACAAUGGGCGCAAGCCUGAUCCAGCCAUGCCGCGUGAGUGAUGAAGGCCCUAGGGUUGUAAAGCUCUUUCACCGGUGAAGAUAAUGACGGUAACCGGAGAAGAAGCCCCGGCUAACUUCGUGCCAGCCGCCGCCGUAAGAC
rnacentral:rRNA from 1 species